rnacentral:rRNA from 1 species
UGCGUAGGCGGCUUUCUAAGUCGGAUGUGAAAACUCUGGGCUCAACCCAGAGCCUGCAUCUGAAACUGGAGAGCUAGGGUUCUGGAGGGGAAAGCGGAAUUCCUGGUGUAGCGGUGAAAUGCGUAGAUAUCAGGAGGAACACCGGUGGCGAAGGCGGCUUUCUGGACAGAUACCGACGCUGAGGCACGAAAGCUAGGGAGCAAACA